AGAAAAGGCCGAACUAGAGAGACUUAAGCAAGUAUUGAAUAUGUCACAUGAUUACCUUAAAGAUGAUGCGUAUCGGCUUAUUGAACAAUGACAUGCAUGAUACUGCACACGGAGGUAGUAUAUCACAAAAAGUCACGACAAUAAUUAAUUAAAUUUCCCACUCAUCCGUAAUGUAUAUUUGGAUUAAAUAUUUUGAGAAAAAAUGUACAAAAGGUUUGACAACGUUUGAAGUUUGUGCCCAUGCAGAAUAACGGAAGCAACUCCCUCUCUCUCAUCUGAACAUUCGAAGUAUUUUAUAAUAAGUUGUAAUGAAAAUUUGGGGGAGUGGCAUUACCUCGGGGCGAAUGAAUGACUUACACCGAUUUUACGAAAACUCUGUAAAAGAAUUUCUGAAGUGUACUUUUUGUACUGUGAUUGUCUGAUCACUCUGGUGCAGUAAAAUGGCUGAAUGUCUACUCAUAAAAUAUAUUUUAAUAAACAUAUCAAAUGAA